GGCUACUGCCUGGUUAAUCAGUCACUGCCCCUGGCCGGGCAAGGGGCAUUUGGUAGACCUCCUGCCUCCAAAGCCCCUUUACUUGCUCUAGAAGUGGCUAGGGAUUCAUGAUGCUGCGGACCUGUCGUGUGCUCUGCUCCCAAGCUGGACCCUCCGCUGGGGGCUGGCAGCCCUUGAGCUUUGAUGGUGGGGCUUUUCACCUCAAAGGCACAGGAGAACUGACACGAGCUUUGUUGGUGCUGCGGCUGUGUGCCUGGCCCCCUCUGGUCACACAUGGCCUGGCGCUCCAGGCCUGGUCUCAGCGACUCCUGGGCUCCCGGCUCUCAGGCGCACUUCUCCGAGCAUCUAUCUAUGGGCAGUUUGUGGCUGGUGAGACAGCAGAGGAGGUGAAGGGCUGUGUCCAACAGCUCCAGACCCUAGGCCUUCGGCCCCUGCUGGCAGUACCCACUGAGGAGGAGCCAGACUCAGCUGUCAAGACUGGUGAGGCCUGGUAUGAGGGGAACUUCAGUGCUAUGCUUCGGUGUGUGGACCUGUCACGAGGCCUGCUGGAGACCCCUGGCCCGACUGGGAACAUCCUUAUGCAGCUGAAGGUGACGGCGCUGACCAGUGCUCGGCUCUGUAAGGAGCUAACCUCAUGGAUCAGAAAACCAGGGGCUUCCUUGGAGCUGAGCCCCGAGAGGCUGGCUGAAGCCAUGGACUCUGGGCGGGAUCUCCAGGUCUCCCACCUCAAUGCCGAGCAAAACCAGCAUCUCCGGGCCUCUCUGAGCCGCUUGCACCGGGUAGUCAAGCAUGCCCGAGCCCAGCACGUGAGGCUCCUGGUGGAUGCUGAGUACACCUUCCUGAACCCGGCUCUCUCUCUGCUGGUGGAUGCCCUGGCCAUGCGCUGGAACGGCCCUGGGGAAGGCGGGCCCUGGGUGUGGAACACUUACCAGGCCUAUCUGAAGGACACACACGAGCGGCUGAGGCGGGCCGCGGAGGCCGCUGACAGGGCUGGCCUGGCCUUCGGAGUCAAGUUGGUACGAGGGGCAUAUCUAGACAAGGAGAGAGAGGUGGCUCGGCACCAUGGGACAGAAGACCCCACUCAGCCGGACUAUGAGGCUACCAGUCAGAGUUACAGCCGCUGUCUGGAGCUGAUGCUGACCCAGGUGUCCCACCGUGGCCCCAUGUGCCAUCUCAUGGUGGCUUCCCACAAUGAGGAAUCUGUUCACCAGGCGACCAAGCGCAUGUGGGAGCUGGGCAUUCCUCUGGACGGACCUGUCUGUUUUGGACAACUUCUAGGGAUGUGCGACCACGUCUCCUUGGCACUGGGUACUAAGGGGUACAGAAUUACUUUACCCUAAAUUCAGAGCCUGAGGUUUCCUGAGGCAUCUCCAUGAUGCAAAUCUGAGCUACAAAUAUAUGAGGCUAAUCCAUGGCCUCGAUCUCUCAGAGAUGGGUUUCUGUUUUCUUCUCUGCUCCACUUAUGAUCAAGGCCACCAUUCCCUGGCAGGCCGGCUAUGCUGUGUAUAAGUCCAUCCCUUAUGGUUCCCUGGAGGAGGUGAUCCCCUACCUGAUCCGGAGGGCCCAGGAGAAC